rnacentral:miRNA from 8 species
UGCUCAGUUUGCACAGCUGGGA